rnacentral:rRNA from 1 species
UGAGUAACGCGUGAGGAACCUGCCUUCCAGAGGGGGACAACAGUUGGAAACGACUGCUAAUACCGCAUGACACAUUUGAAUCGCAUGGUUUGAAUGUCAAAGAUUUUAUCGCUGGAAGAUGGCCUCGCGUCUGAUUAGCUAGUAGGCGGGGUAACGGCCCACCUAGGCGACGAUCAGUAGCCGGACUGAGAGGUUGACCGGCCACAUUGGGACUGAGAUACGGCCCAGACUCCUACGGAAGGCAGCAG